AAUUCUCAGAAAGUUCCUACUUGGACAUCAGUGGUUUUCCACCUGGAUGCACAUCAGCAUUAUCUGAGAAGCUUAAAAAAAUUAUCAAAUACCAGAUCAAUUAAACCUGGAGGUAGAGCCCAGAAAUCAGUACUCUGCGUUUUACUAGGUGAUUUUGACUUGCAGCCAGACUACAUUCCACUGAUGUAUCCUUUUCAGAAAGUUGUAGCAUGAAGGCUAUAUCAUAUCUAGACAGUUUUUUUGUUUUUUCCAAAUUUCACCAGUAAAAGAUAUUUAUAGAAAAAGACACAGUUGUGCUUCUUCUAAAGAUGCAACUUACCAUUUCAAAAGUGCUGGUCCUUGGAGGUUGUCUGGAGCACUGGUUGAAGAGGAGCAAGUCCUAGUCUUGGCAGAGCAGGCAACAUUUCAGGCUUUGGCAGAAAUGGAGAAUGGCCAGAUGCCCGUGAGUACCAGCAUGAUGCACACUGACACCAGAUUUAAUCCACAGUGAGUAUUCAUGAAGCUUGGGGCUGACACCAGCAGAUGGGUGAGAAUGACAAGAAGGGUGUACCACUUUUUCUUCUCACAGGCACUUCCAAAAACACGACGCUCUAGAACAUGUGCAGCAAUGUGUUCACCAGUGUCAUGAAAGCUGAAUUUCCGAAGCACUGGAGAGGGUCUCAAAGAAUGCCUACUGUGCCUGGCCCCAGAGAAUCAGACAGAGUAUUUACAGAGGAAAAUGCUCCACUCAUGAUUUCAAAGCCCACGCCAGAGACAUAAGCCAGCAGUCCGUAGAGGGUGCUCUCACCUGGGUUUAUCCUCUUCAAGCCCUCACUGGCUUAAAAAAAAAAAAGGUUUAUAACAUGCAAACCGGCACAUUUCUUGCCUAAGGACAGACUAACACUCCAAAAAUCAGCAGACAUUUCCGCACUGGUCCAUCUUUGAUGUCAGCAAUGACUGCUGUCAUAAACCAAACAAGGGAGGAAAGCAGCAGAGACACCAACCAGAAGAACUCUGCGAUGAGGAGAAAGUUGAUGCGCAGUGGUGGCCAUGGUGAAGACGUAGAACUCGAGCACAGGUGCAAAGCCAAGUGCAGCCCAGAACAAGGCCGCCGUCAUGGCAACCGUAGAAGCCUGCGGGCGGCGGGGGAGAGGUAAAAGCUGGAGUCAGAAGGUGAUUCUGUGAUGCAACACCAAUCUCCCUGCAGGACCGAGACACUCACUAACCCAGCUGUGGGGGAGUUUGGAUGCUGCCAGAUCACAGUUGAACCCGUCUUAGUAAUAUCCUCAGUGGAGGACUUGUCUUACUCAAGGCCUUGCUGGGGACAGCCAGACUCAAUGACUGGUCACUGGUUUGGGGAGUGAGCAAUGUCUUGACCUAUUCUCCCUAAAUUAUGACAAAUCUAAAAGACCAUUCCAGCUCCCACACAAAAUACCUAAACACAAGGAUAAACUAAACUUUUU
ensembl:lncRNA